rnacentral:tRNA from 1 species
UGUUCUGUGGCUUAGUUGGUUAAAGCGCCGGUCUAGUGAAUACGGAGUCAUGGUUUCGGAUCCCACCAGAACGC